UACGGAGGGGGCUAGCGUUAUUCGGAAUUAUUGGGCGUAAAGGGCGCGUAGGCGGCCCGGUAAGUCAAAGGUGAAAUCCCUCGGCUCAACUGAGGAACUGCCUUUGAAACUGUCGGGCUUGAGGCCGGGAGGGGGUAGCGGAAUUCCCAGUGUAGCGGUGAAAUGCGUAGAUAUUGGGAGGAACACCGGUGGCGAAGGCGGCUACCUGGACCGGUUCUGACGCUGAUGCGCGAAAGCGUGGGUAGCAAACAAGG
rnacentral:rRNA from 1 species